rnacentral:rRNA from 1 species
GAGUUUGAUCAUGGCUCAGGAGGAACGCUGGCGGCGUGCCUAACACAUGCAAGUCGAGCGAGAAAUAGUCAGACGGAGAUUUCGGUUGAAGGAUGGUUAUGGAAAGCGGCGGACGGGUGAGUAACGCGUAGGCAACCUGCCUCAUGCAGAGGGAUAGCCUCGGGAAACCGGGAUUAAAACCUCAUAAGGCCAAGGGGACACAUGUUUUCGUGGUCAAAGAUUUAUCGGCAUGAGAUGGGCCUGCGUCUGAUUAGCUGGUUGGUGAGGUAACGGCUCACCAAGGCGACGAUCAGUAGCCGACCUGAGAGGGUAAACGGCCACAUUGGAACUGAGACACGGUCCAAACUCCUACGGGAGGCAGCAGUGGGGAAUAUUGCACAAUGGGCGAAAGCCUGAUGCAGCAACGCCGCGUGAGCGAAGAAGGCCUUUGGGUCGUAAAGCUCUGUCGAUAGGGAAGAAAAAGAUGACGUACNUCAGAG